rnacentral:rRNA from 1 species
GACGAACGCUGGCGGCGUGCUUAACACAUGCAAGUCGAACGGAAAGGCCCUGCUUUUGUGGGUUGCUCUAGUGGCGAACGGGUGAGUAACACGUGAGUAACCUGCCCUUGACUUGGGGAUAACUUCAUGAAACUGGGGCUAAUACCGGAUAGGAGCUCCUGCGGCAUGGUGGGGGUUGGAAAGUUUCGGCGGUUGGGGGUGGACUCGCGGCUUAUCAGCUUGUUGGUGGGGUAGUGGCUUACCAAGGCUUUGACGGGUAGCCGGCCUGAGAGGGUGACCGGCCACAUUGGGACUGAGAUACGGCCCAGACUCCUACGGGAGGCAGCAGUGGGGAAUAUUGCACAAUGGGCGGAAGCCUGAUGCAGCAACGCCGCGUGCGGGAUGACGGCCUUCGGGUUGUAAACCGCUUUCGCCUGUGACGAAGCGUGAGUGACGGUAAUGGGUAAAGAAGCACCGGCUAACUACGUG